rnacentral:tRNA from 1 species
GUCAGGAUGGCCGAGUGGUCUAAGGCGCCAGACUCAAGUUCUGGUCCACAAAUGUGGGCGUGGGUUCGAACCCCACUCCUGACA